UUUUCAAAUAAACUCUCCCUAUUUAAAUAUAAUUUUGCACUGAUUUCAUCCUUAAAGUGUGUUUUCAAGUGAUUAAAAAUUUGACUUGAUUCUUCUUAUAUACUUUCAUUUACUUUGUCUUUCAUUUUUAACUUUCUUAUGUUCUAUACUCUAUUUGCUCCCUAUCCGGUGGAGUUGGGAAGGGGCACGAGGUACUACCACUA
rnacentral:lncRNA from 1 species